CCGGCGCACGGGUGAGUAACGCGUAUGCAACUUACCUAUCAGAGGGGGAUAACCCGGCGAAAGUCGGACUAAUACCGCAUGAAGCAGGGGUCCCGCAUGGGGAUAUUUGCUAAAGAUUCAUCGCUGAUAGAUAGGCAUGCGUUCCAUUAGGCAGUUGGCGGGGUAACGGCCCACCAAACCGACGAUGGAUAGGGGUUCUGAGAGGAAGGUCCCCCACAUUGGAACUGAGACACGGUCCAA
rnacentral:rRNA from 1 species